GACGAACGCUGGCGGCGUGCUUAACACAUGCAAGUCGAACGGAAAGGCCUUUUCGGAGGUACUCGGGUGGCGAACGGGUGAGUAACACGUGGGUGAUCUGCCCUGCACUCUGGGAUAAGCCUGGGAAACUGGGUCUAAUACCGGAUAGGACCGCACUUUAGUGUGUGUGGUGGAAAGUUUUUUCGGUGUAGGAUGAGCCCGCGGCCUAUCAGCUUGUUGGUGGGGUAAUGACCUACCAAGGCGGCGACGGGUAGCCGGACUGAGAGGUUGGUCGGCCACAUUGGGACUGAGAUACGGCCCAGACUCCUACGGGAGGAAGCAGUGGGGAAUAUUGCACAAUGGGCGCAAGCCUGAUGCAGCGACGCCGCGUGGGGGAUGACGGCCUUCGGGUUGUAAACUCCUUUCGCCAGGGACGAAGCGUUUUGUGACGGUACCUGGAGAAGAAGCACCGGCUAACUACGUG
rnacentral:rRNA from 1 species